ACUAGUGAUUUCCGUAGGUGAACCUGCGGAAGGAUCAUUAUCGUGAAUCCAUACCAACCCUUGCGAAAUGUGGAUGUUUGGCACCAUGGUGUAGAGCAAUCUCACCGCGGUGUCAGUGGAGCUUUGCUCCGCAUCAACAACCAAACUCUUUUGUUUGUGCACGAUUGUGUGAGGACGCAUUGGUGUGUGUCGGUGUGAUAUUCGUAUCAUCACUGACUCUUAAUCGAUGCGAAAUCGAAACGAUCUAAAACUCUUAACAGUGGAUAUCUUGGCUCUCGCAACGAUGAAGAACGCAGCGAAAUGCGAUACGUAAUGUGAAUUGCAGAAUUCAGCGAAUCAUCGAAACUUUGAACGCAUAUUGCACUCGUGUGCUUCGGCACCGAGUAUGCCUCUUUCAGUGUCAUCGACUUAAAUCUCACGGCCUCUUUGGGGGAACCGUGGUCGAUGGGCGUCACGAGUUUGUAUGGUCUACCACGCAAAUGACUCGGGUCGCCUGAAGCUUGGAGGCUGCGCUGUCUACGACACGAAGCGAUGUAGUAAGUAGGCCUGUCAUCUUCGGAUGCGGUCGCACUCUCGUCGGUUUGUUGUUUGUGGCGUCUGGAGUCUUUUGACUCUGGGGCGUGUGCCGGUCAACUUUCAUUUAAAGCUCGACCUGAAAUGAGGUAAGGCUACCCGCCGAACUUAAGCAUAUCA
rnacentral:rRNA from 1 species